AGAGUUUGAUCAUGGCUCAGAACGAACGCUGGCGGCGCGCCUAACACAUGCAAGUCGAACGGUGUCUUCGGACAUAGUGGCGGACGGGUGAGUAACGCGUGAGAAUCUGGCUUCAGGUUGGGGACAACAGAUGGAAACGUCUGCUAAUACCCAAUGUGCCGAGAGGUGAAAGCUUUAUGUGCCUGAAGAUGAGCUCGCGUCCGAUUAGCUAGUUGGAGUGGUAAUGGCACACCAAGGCGACGAUCGGUAGCUGGUCUGAGAGGAUGAUCAGCCACACGGGGACUGAGACACUGCCCGGACUCCUACGGGAGGCUGCAGUAACGAAUAUUCCACGAGGGGCGAAAGCAUGACGGAGCGAUACCGCGUGCAGGAUGAAGCGGCUUCGCCAUGUAAACUGCUGUCAGAGGGAAGAAAUACUGGUCACCCGCAGAGGAAGAGACGGCUAACUCUGUGCCAGCAGCCGCGGUAAUAC
rnacentral:rRNA from 1 species